rnacentral:rRNA from 1 species
AUGAACGCUGGCGGCGUGCCUAAUACAUGCAAGUCGAGCGAACAGACGAGGAGCUUGCUCCUCUGACGUUAGCGGCGGACGGGUGAGUAACACGUGGAUAACCUACCUAUAAUACUGGGAUAACUUCGGGAAACCGGAGCUAAUACCGGAUAAUAUAUUGAACCGCAUGGUUCAAUAGUGAAAGACGGUUUUGCUGUCACUUAUAGAUGGAUCCGCGCCGCAUUAGCUAGUUGGUAAGGUAACGGCUUACCAAGGCGACGAUGCGUAGCCGACCUGAGAGGGUGAUCGGCCACACUGGAACUGAGACACGGUCCAGACUCCUACGGGAGGCAGCAGUAGGGAAUCUUCCGCAAUGGGCGAAAGCCUGACGGAGCAACGCCGCGUGAGUGAUGAAGGUCUUCGGAUCGUAAAACUCUGUUAUUAGGGAAGAACAAAUGUGUAAGUAACUAUGCACGUCUUGACGGUACCUAAUCAGAAAGCCACGGCUAACUACGUG